rfam:Myotis lucifugus cont2.32190, whole genome shotgun sequence.
AUUUAUAUAAUAUCUACAUACUAAAAUUGGAAAAAUACAGAGAAGAUUAGCAUGGCCCAUGUGCAAGGAUAAUGCACAAAUUCGUGAAGUAUUGCAUAUUAAA